rnacentral:misc_RNA from 1 species
UGAUGUGUAUAGUUUUGGAGUUGUCCUCCUUGAAAUGCUGUCAGGUCGUAGGGCAAUCGACAAGAAUAGACCAUCCGGAGAACACAAUCUAGUGGAGUGGGCGAAACCUUACCUAGGUAACAAACGUAAGGUCUUCCGUGUUCUGGAUACCCGUCUUGAAGGCCAGUAUUCAAUGGAGGUGGCGAGUAAAGUAGCUAACCUUGCCCUGCGGUGCCUAUCCAAAGAUCCUCGGUUUAGACCAAGCAUGAGUGACAUUGUUAAAGAACUGGAGCAACUUUAUCAACAAUCUAAAGAUUCAGGAAAUACUCGCAGCCACGCUAGCAACCGACCUAGACCACGUAGACGAAGUGCUGGUGAUGUUGCUAAUAGAAAUCCUUCAGUUGCUUAUCCGAGACCGUCUGCUUCUCCCCUUUACGCUAAAUAAUUAAACAAAUGAUUGAAAGAUGCCUUAAUUUCUUGUUUUUUUUGUCUUAUAUGUGUUUAUCAAGCUUGAUAAGUAGUUGAGGCUGAUGAAGA